CAUUAUGCUCAGCCUUAAACCUUGAUAGUCCACUUACAAUCACUAUCCGCCCGGGUACUACGAGCAUUAGCUUAAAACCCAAAGGACUUGGCGGUGCUUAACAUCCACCUAGAGGAGCCUGUUCUAGAACCGAUAAUCCCCGUUAAACCUCACCCUCUCUUGUUUUUCCCGCCUAUAUACCGCCGUCGUCAGCUUACCCCGUGAGGAACCCAUAGUAAGCACAAUUGGUAGAACCCAAAACGUCAGGUCGAGGUGUAGCUAAUGAGAGGGGAAGAAAUGGGCUACAUUUCCUAAACUAGGAAACACGAACAAUGUCCUGAAACGGACAUUAGAAGGAGGAUUUAGUAGUAAGCAGAAAAUAGAGCGUUCCGCUGAACCUGGCCCUAAAGCGCGCACACACCGCCCGUCACUCUCCCCAAGCUAAGAAACUACACGUACUUAAAAAAUAAUACCUGCAAAGGGGAGGCAAGUCGUAA
rnacentral:rRNA from 1 species